AUUGAACGCUGGCGGCAGGCUUAACACAUGCAAGUCGAGCAGGGUGAUGGUGCUUGCACUAUCACUUAGCGGCGGACGGGUGAGUAAUGCUUAGGAAUCUGCCUAUUAGUGGGGGACAACAUCUCGAAAGGGAUGCUAAUACCGCAUACGUCCUACGGGAGAAAGCAGGGGAUCACUUGUGACCUUGCGCUAAUAGAUGAGCCUAAGUCGGAUUAGCUAGUUGGUGGGGUAAAGGCCUACCAAGGCGACGAUCUGUAGCGGGUCUGAGAGGAUGAUCCGCCAAACUGGGACUGAGACACGGCCCAGACUCCUACGGGAGGCAGCAGUGGGGAAUAUUGGACAAUGGGGGGAACCCUGAUCCAGCCAUGCCGCGUGUGUGAAGAAGGCCUUAUGGUUGUAAAGCACUUUAAGCGAGGAGGAGGCUUACCUAGUUAAUACCUGGGAUAAGUGGACGUUACUCGCAGAAUAAGCACCGGCUAACUCUGUGCCAGCCGCCGCCGUAA
rnacentral:rRNA from 1 species